GAACGCUAGCUACAGGCUUAACACAUGCAAGUCGAGGGGCAGCAUGGUCUUAGCUUGCUAAGGCCGAUGGCGACCGGCGCACGGGUGAGUAACACGUAUCCAACCUGCCGUCUACUCUUGGACAGCCUUCUGAAAGGAAGAUUAAUACAAGAUGGCAUCAUGAGUCCGCAUGUUCACAUGAUUAAAGGUAUUCCGGUAGACGAUGGGGAUGCGUUCCAUUAGAUAGUAGGCGGGGUAACGGCCCACCUAGUCUUCGAUGGAUAGGGGUUCUGAGAGGAAGGUCCCCCACAUUGGAACUGAGACACGGUCCAAACUCCUACGGGAGGCAGCAGUGAGGAAUAUUGGUCAAUGGGCGAGAGCCUGAACCAGCCAAGUAGCGUGAAGGAUGACUGCCCUAUGGGUUGUAACCUUCUUUUAUAAAGGAAUAAAGUCGGGUAUGGAUACCCGUUUGCAUGUACUUUAUGAAUAAGGAUCGGCUAACUCCGUGCCAGCAGCCGCGGUAAUACGGAGGAUCCGAGCGUUAUCCGGAUUUAUUGGGUUUAAAGGGAGCGUAGAUGGAUGUUUAAGUCAGUUGUGAAAGUUUGCGGCUCAACCGUAAAAUUGCAGUUGAUACUGGAUAUCUUGAGUGCAGUUGAGGCAGGCGGAAUUCGUGGUGUAGCGGUGAAAUGCUUAGAUAUCACGAAGAACUCCGAUUGCGAAGGCAGCCUGCUAAGCUGCAACUGACAUUGAGGCUCGAAAGUGUGGGUAUCAAACAGGAUUAGAUACCCUGGUAGUCCACUCGGUAAACGAUGAAUACUCGCUGUUUGCGAUAUACUGCAAGCGGCCAAGCGAAAGCGUUAAGUAUUCCCACCUGGGGAGUACGCCGGCAACGGUGAAACUCAAAGGAAUUGACGGGGGUCCGCUCAAGCGGAGGAACAUGUGGUUUAAUUCGAUGAUACGCGAGGAACUUUACCCGGGCUUAAAUUGCAGAUGAAUUACGGUGAAAGCUGUAAGCCGCAAGGCAUCUGUGAAGGUGCUGCAUGGUUGUCGUCAGCUCGUGCCGUGAGGUGUCGGCUUAAGUGCCAUAACGAGCGCAACCUUUGUUGUCAGUUACUAACAGGUUCCGCUGAGGACUCUGACAAGACUGCCAUCGUAAGAUGUGAGGAAGGUGGGGAUGACGUCAAAUCAGCUCGGCCUUUACGUCCGGGGCUACACACGUGUUACAAUGGGGGGUACAGAGGGCCGCUACCACGCGAGUGGAUGCCAAUCCCCAAAACCUCUCUCAGUUCGGACUGGAGUCUGCAACCCGACUCCACGAAGCUGGAUUCGCUAGUAAUCGCGCAUCAGCCUCGGCGCGGUGAAUACGUUCC
rnacentral:rRNA from 1 species